rnacentral:rRNA from 1 species
GAAGGUUCGUCGUCAAAAGGGAAACAGCCCAGACCAACAGCUAAGGUCUCCAAAUCCAUGCUCAGUGGUGAAGGUAGUGGAACCGUUUAGACAGCCAGGACGUUGGCUUAGAAGCAGCCAUCGUUUAAAGAAAGCGUAAUAGCUCACUGGUCUAAUGGCUCUGCGCCGAAAAUGUAACGGGGCUAAGCAUGGUACCGAAGCUUUGGCAAUCCCCUUUGGGGAUUGGGUAGGGGAGCGUUCGCUGCGGGCUGAAGGUGUGCCGGAAGGCAUGCUGGACUGCAGUGAAGUGAUUAUGCUGACAUGAGUAACGAUAAAAUAUGUGAAAAACAUAUUCGCCGAAAACCCGAGGUUUCCUGGGUAAAGGUAAUCUUCCCAGGGUUAGUCGGAUCCUAAGGUGAGGGUGAAAGCCGUAACCGAUGGAAAACAGGUUAAUAUUCCUGUACUUGUUGUGUAGCGCGAUGGAGGGACGCAGGAAGAUAGGCGGGCCGGGUGUUGGAUAUCCCGGUGCAAGCGUGUAGGAAUAUCCGGUAGGCAAAUCCGCCGGACGAAUCUGAGACGCGAGUCCGUGGGCGCAAGCCCUGAAGCCGUUGAGUCUAUGCUGCCUAGAAAAGCUCCUAAGUUUAUCCACAGCAAUCCGUACCGCAAACCAACUCAGGUGGGUGGGAUGAACAAUCCAAGGCGCUCGAGAGAACUCUGGCCAAGGAACUCGGCAAAAUAACCCCGUAACUUCGGAAGAAGGGGUGCUCUCUAGGGUGACAUGUUUAACAUAUGAAGCCCCGGGGAGCCGCAGUGAAUUGGUGGUGGCGACUGUUUACUAAAAACAUAGGUCUGUGCGAAGUCCUAAAGACGACGUAUACGGACUGACGCCUGCCCGGUGCUGGAAGGUUAAAAGGAGGGGUCAGCGCAAGCAAAGCUCCGAAUUGAAGCCCC